UGCAGCAAGGAUAUGCGCAAUGGACGAAGUCUGACGCAGCAACACCGCGUGGAGGAUGAAGGCCUUCGGGUUGUAAACUCCUUUUCUGGGGGAAGAGAUAGGACAGUACCCCAGGAAUAAGUCUCGGCUAACUACGUGCCAGCAGCCGCGGUAAAACGUAGGAGGCGAACGUUAUCCGGAUUUACUGGGCGUAAAGCGCAUGCAGGCGGUUUCUUAAGUCGGACGUGAAAGCUCCUGGCUCAACUGGGAGAGGUCGUUCGAAACUGGGAAACUUGAGGAUGGUAGAGGAGAGUGGAAUUCCCGGUGUAGUGGUGAAAUGCGUAGAUAUCGGGAGGAACACCAGUGGCGAAGGCGGCUCUCUGGGCCAUUCCUGACGCUAAGAUGCGAAAGCCAGGGUAGAGAACGGGAUUAGAAACCCCGGUAUUCCUGGCCGUAAACGAUGUCAACUAGGUGUAGGGGGUAUCCAACCCCUCUGUGCUGUAGCAAACGCGUUAAGUUGACCGCCUGGGGACUACGGCCGCAAGGCUA
rnacentral:rRNA from 1 species